UGAGAGCAAAUUCCUAUCAAACC
rnacentral:snRNA from 1 species